UACGAAGGGGGCUAGCGUUGCUCGGAAUCACUGGGCGUAAAGCGCACGUAGGCGGCUUCUCAAGUCAGGGGUGAAAUCCUGGAGCUCAACUCCAGAACUGCCUUUGAUACUGAAGAUCUUGAGUUCGGGAGAGGUGAGUGGAACUGCGAGUGUAGAGGUGAAAUUCGUAGAUAUUCGCAAGAACACCAGUGGCGAAGGCGGCUCACUGGCCCGAUACUGACGCUGAGGCACGAAAGCAUGGGGAGCGAACAGG
rnacentral:rRNA from 1 species